AAGUCGUAACAAGGUUUCCGUAGGUGAACCUGCGGAAGGAUCAUUAACGAAUCAAACAAGUUCAUCUUGUUCUGAUCCUGUGCACCUUAUGUAGUCCUCUAAAGCCUUCACGGGCGGCGGUUGACUACGUCUACCUCACACCUUAAAGUAUGUUAACGAAUGUAAUCAUGGUCUCGACAGACCCUAAAAAGUUAAUACAACUUUCGACAACGGAUCUCUUGGCUCUCGC
rnacentral:misc_RNA from 1 species